rnacentral:rRNA from 1 species
AGUGAACGCUGGCGGUAGGCCUAACACAUGCAAGUCGAACGGCAGCACAGUAAGAGCUUGCUCUUACGGGUGGCGAGUGGCGGACGGGUGAGGAAUACAUCGGAAUCUACUUUUUCGUGGGGGAUAACGUAGGGAAACUUACGCUAAUACCGCAUACGACCUACGGGUGAAAGCAGAGGAUCUUCGGACCUUGCGCGAUUGAAUGAGCCGAUGUCGGAUUAGCUAGUUGGCGGGGUAAAGGCCCACCAAGGCGACGAUCCGUAGCUGGUCUGAGAGGAUGAUCAGCCACACUGGAACUGAGACACGGUCCAGACUCCUACGGGAGGCAGCAGUGGGGAAUAUUGGACAAUGGGCGCAAGCCUGAUCCAGCCAUACCGCGUGGGUGAAGAAGGCCUUCGGGUUGUAAAGCCCUUUUGUUGGGAAAGAAAAGCAGCAGGUUAAUACCCCGCUGUUCUGACGGUACCCAAAGAAUAAGCACCGGCUAACUUCGAG